AUUUGUCGAACUAAAUUCUAUUUGAUAUGAUAUACGUUUCUUUGAUGAUUCUACGGAUAUCUAUUAUGCCUUGAUAUAGGACUUGUCAGUAACUCCAUGCUAACGGAGAGUAGUUAUCCUAUGUGCACAUAGUAUUCUGUAUACCUAGCUGGUGAGAGAGGCAUCAGCCUAUGGCGACUGAUCAUCCCACAGUGGUCACCUUCGGGUGUCAUCUGGUCACUUUCGAGUGUCAUCUGGUCACCUUCGGGUGUCAUCUGAUCUUUGACAUGU
rnacentral:lncRNA from 1 species